GCGGUGUUCUAUAGCUUCGAGGCUACAGCGGUGUUUUUACCUGCGCGGUCGCGGGGUUCCUGGUCGUGGCUAUGAUCUUGCCCGGUGAGAAGCCGCCACCUGCUGCCAGACUGUCGACCAUCUGCAGCCCGAUCCCCCGGCUGGCUCCCGUCACCAGCACCGAGCAGCACUUUCCGAAACUCACCAGGCUGCUCAUCGUCGAUGUCGCCCCGCGCCAAGUGCUGGUGGGCUCGAUACGCCUUUAGUUUGCAAAAACUGAGGCUGAAGAUGGAGGUGGCGAGAUGAGGCGGACACGCACAGCUGAUGGAGCUUAUGCGGUGCACACAGCACACAGAUGGUUUCCCUGGCAGCUUUCUCUGUCCAGAUUUUUCUUAAAGCUCCCGGUGGGAGCAGCAGAUAUCCCCCCCGGUCUCCUCCGGCGGAGUAGUUGACGUCCUCAAAUCCUCACCACAUUGGUUUUGGUCGCGUGCACACAACGGAAACACCAACAGAAACAGGAGAGCUGCAUGAAAACUAAGUUUCACCAGCAAAGAAGAGUUCCCCUCAAACACAGGAGCAGAAAUGUUUUCGCAAUCACUCCAUCCCAAAGUGAGAAACUCUAGAGGAAAGUAAAUCUUGAAUUUGCAAUGUCAUUAAGUGUAAUUAGUGUAAUUCUCCUUUAUUACCGAGUCUCUUGAUUUCAGAUAGUGACACGUUUUCAAGAAAUAGUGUAGAACGCUAUAGAUCGCAUGUUUUGAAUGAUCUCGAAGAUUUGAAAUUGAACUUUGUGCUUCUAUCUAUUUUUUUUGUGUGACUUUUGCGUAGAUUAAUUUUCAGGUAGCAUAGUUUCUUUUAUCGACUUUUGAGGCGAUAAAUGAUCAUGUUCAGCUACUGGAUGUGUUUUGAGCUUGUGUUGAUUGUUGUGUGAUGUAUUGUGUUGUAUUUUUGUUAUGUUGUGAGUAAGAAUGUUCUGUUUGUAAGCUCAUGUUUUUUGCUGCACUGUGAGUAUGAAUGUUAUGGAUGUAUGUAAUCCAUCUUAUAUAAUAUUCUUAUGAAAUAAUAGAGACCCAGGGAGGAGUAGCUACUGUUUUAGAAUGGGGAUUUUAAUAAACUAAACUAAACUGUUAAACUUUA